CAUACAUUCAAUUAGUGACGAUAAUAACUGUAUUUUUUUGGUAAAAGAUUGAAUAAAACUGUAAACUUGUGCACUUGUCUGCUGCAUCAAUGGCGUCGCCUUCACCAUCAACAAUCUCACCAUUGUUAGUGCAACUCUGAGCUGCUUCUACUAUAACGACGCUAACUUACCGCCAAAUCGUCUUCCACUCCUUCUUAGAGGUGCUGUACCAAAGAACAAUAUGGAAGAUCCUCAACCUGUUAAUAGCCCAAGAAGAGUUCUCAGCCUGUCAAGGAAAAGGAAAGGUGCUGGCUCUUUCUUAAAUGUUGAUAAUAAAGCUUCUGGAUUGGGUGUAUCUGGUCAACAUGGUCCAAAACCAGCUGAAGUAUAUGGCUUUGUGGGUUCUAUAACAACUAUUGUUGCAACAGCUAUAUUCUUCAUAUGGGCAUAUGCUCCUGAGCAGUGGUUGCAUUCUAUUGGGAUCUUCUACUAUCCUAACAGGUACUGGGCUGUAGCUGUACCAACGUAUUGCAUGGUCAUUAUAGUCUUGGGACUGGCAUUUUAUAUAGGCCUCAACUUUAUGGCAACUCCUUCCCCAACUUCCUUGAAUGUGAUUUAUGAUGAGCACAGCAGAGACCCACAAAGUUUCAUGACAUCAACUGCUGAAGAUGAUCAGCCUAUUGAACCUAUCUCGGAUAUUGGCAUCAACCAAAUAAAUAAGCUUAUGUUUAGAGACUUGAAAUGACAAUUGUAUAUGUUGACAUCAGUGGACUAAGUCGUCUCAUGUAGAUAAUAUCUGGGUAAGUGGUUUUGCUGAUAGCCCAUUGCAUUGCUUGGCUGAUUAUUGUAGUAUUUGUGUGAAUGUGAAGGUAGGCUGUGUUAAUUUGUUGAAGGCCAACUCUCAAUAACAUUGAGUGAUCAAUAACAUGUACAGAAGGCCUUGAAUAAUUCCUUCAAUGAUGUGAGCACGAAUUCCCCAAUCGAGCUGUAAACUUUUCUCAGGAUCUGCAACAUUUUAAAAG